GAUGAACGCUGGCGGCGUGCCUAAUACAUGCAAGUCGAGCGAACGGACGAGAAGCUUGCUUCUCUGAUGUUAGCGGCGGACGGGUGAGUAACACGUGGAUAACCUACCUAUAAGACUGGGAUAACUUCGGGAAACCGGAGCUAAUACCGGAUAAUAUUUUGAACCGCAUGGUUCAAAAGUGAAAGACGGUCUUGCUGUCACUUAUAGAUGGAUCCGCGCUGCAUUAGCUAGUUGGUAAGGUAACGGCUUACCAAGGCAACGAUGCAUAGCCGACCUGAGAGGGUGAUCGGCCACACUGGAACUGAGACACGGUCCAGACUCCUACGGGAGGCAGCAGUAGGGAAUCUUCCGCAAUGGGCGAAAGCCUGACGGAGCAACGCCGCGUGAGUGAUGAAGGUCUUCGGAUCGUAAAACUCUGUUAUUAGGGAAGAACAUAUGUGUAAGUAACUGUGCACAUCUUGACGGUACCUAAUCAGAAAGCCACGGCUAACUACGUGCCAGCAGCCGCGGUAAUACGUAGGUGGCAAGCGUUAUCCGGAAUUAUUGGGCGUAAAGCGCGCGUAGGCGGUUUUUUAAGUCUGAUGUGAAAGCCCACGGCUCAACCGUGGAGGGUCAUUGGAAACUGGAAAACUUGAGUGCAGAAGAGGAAAGUGGAAUUCCAUGUGUAGCGGUGAAAUGCGCAGAGAUAUGGAGGAACACCAGUGGCGAAGGCGACUUUCUGGUCUGUAACUGACGCUGAUGUGCGAAAGCGUGGGGAUCAAACAGGAUUAGAUACCCUGGUAGUCCACGCCGUAAACGAUGAGUGCUAAGUGUUAGGGGGUUUCCGCCCCUUAGUGCUGCAGCUAACGCAUUAAGCACUCCGCCUGGGGAGUACGACCGCAAGGUUGAAACUCAAAGGAAUUGACGGGGACCCGCACAAGCGGUGGAGCAUGUGGUUUAAUUCGAAGCAACGCGAAGAACCUUACCAAAUCUUGACAUCCUUUGACAACUCUAGAGAUAGAGCUUUCCCCUUCGGGGGACAAAGUGACAGGUGGUGCAUGGUUGUCGUCAGCUCGUGCCGUGAGAUGUUGGGUUAAGUCCCGCAACGAGCGCAACCCUUAAGCUUAGUUGCCAUCAUUAAGUUGGGCACUCUAAGUUGACUGCCGGUGACAAACCGGAGGAAGGUGGGGAUGACGUCAAAUCAUCAUGCCCCUUAUGAUUUGGGCUACACACGUGCUACAAUGGACAAUACAAAGGGCAGCGAAACCGCGAGGUCAAGCAAAUCCCAUAAAGUUGUUCUCAGUUCGGAUUGUAGUCUGCAACUCGACUACAUGAAGCUGGAAUCGCUAGUAAUCGUAGAUCAGCAUGCUACGGUGAGUACGUUCCCGGGUCU
rnacentral:rRNA from 1 species